AACGAACGCUGGCGGCAGGCCUAACACAUGCAAGUCGAGCGAAGCCUUCGGGCUUAGCGGCGGACGGGUGAGUAACGCGUGGGAACGUGCCCUUUGGUACGGAAUAGCCCCGGGAAACUGGGAGUAAUACCGUAUGUGGUCGAGAGACGAAAGAUUUAUCGCCAAAGGAUCGGCCCGCGGUGGAUUAGGUAGUUGGGGGGGUAAUGGCCUACCAAGCCGACGAUCCCUAGCUGGUUUGAGAGGAUGAUCAGCCACAAGGGGACUGGGACACGGGCCAAGAUCCCACGGGAGGGAGGAGGUGGGAAUCUUAAAAAAUGGGGGAAACCCUGAUCUAGCCAUGCCGCGUGAUCGAUGAAGGCCUUAGGGUUGUAAAGAUCUUUCAGUGGGGAAGAUAAUGACUGUACCCACAGAAGAAGCCCCGGCUAACUCCGUGCCAGCCGCCGCAGUAAGAC
rnacentral:rRNA from 1 species